rnacentral:snRNA from 1 species
GUGCUCGUUUUGGCAGCACAUAUACUAAAAUUGGAAUAAUACAGAGAAGAUUAGCAUGGCC